CAACCCUCGAGCCCCCCGGGGGCCCGGCGUUGGGGACCGGCUCCCGCCCUCGCGGCGGCUGCCGCCCCCGAAAUACAGUGGCGGUCACGCCGCAGCCUCCCCUGCGCAGUAGCACAACUCGCACCGGAGCGCGGCGCGGCCACGCCGUAAAACCCCCCAUACCUUCUGAA
rnacentral:misc_RNA from 1 species